rnacentral:rRNA from 1 species
GGGCCAUAAAACUGCAGUCGAACGCGAGUCGUUGUAAUGAUGUGGACAUGGACAGAGAACUUGUUCGAAGAAAGCGAUAAUUGACUUACAACAAUGGCUUUAGUGGCGGACUGGUGCAUUAACGCGUGAGCAACCUGCCUGUUAGAGGGGAAUAACAGUGAGAAAUCAUUGCUAAUACCGCAUAUGCCAUAACUAUCACAUGAUAGAAGUGGGAAAGGAGUAAUCCGCUAACAGAUGGGCUCGCGUCUGAUUAGAUAGUUGGUGGGGUAACGGCCUACCAAGUCUACGAUCAGUAGCCGGACUGAGAGGUUGAACGGCCACAUUGGGACUGAGAUACGGCCCAGACUCCUACGGGAGGCAGCAGUCGGGAAUAUUGCGCAAUGGAGGAAACUCUGACGCAGUGACGCCGCGUAUAGGACGAAGGUCUUCGGAUUGUAAACUAUUGUCGUUAGGGAAGAGAAAGGACAGUACCUAAGGAGGAAGCUCCGGCUAACUACGUGCCAGCAGCCGCGGUAAUACGUAGGGAGCAAGCGUUAUCCGGAUUUAUUGGGUGUAAAGGGUGCGUAGACGGGAAAUUAAGUUAGUUGUGAAAUCCCUCGGCUCAACUGAGGAACUGCAACUAAAACUGGUUUUCUUGAGUGUUGGAGAGGAAAGCGGUAUUCCUAGUGUAGCGGUGAAAUGCGUAGAUAUUAGGAGGAACACCAGUGGCGAAGGCGGCUUGCUGGACGAAAACUGACGUUGAGGCUCGAAAGCGUGGGGAGCAAACAGGAUUAGAUACCCUGGUAGUCCACGCUGUAAAC